rnacentral:rRNA from 1 species
GAUGAACGCUGGCGGCGUGCUUAACACAUGCAAGUCGAACGAAGCACUUUAUUUGAUUUCCUUCGGGACUGAUUAUUUUGUGACUGAGUGGCGGACGGGUGAGUAACGCGUGGGUAACCUGCCUUGUACAGGGGGAUAACAGUUGGAAACGGCUGCUAAUACCGCAUAAGCGCACAGCAUCGCAUGAUGCAGUGUGAAAAACUCCGGUGGUAUAAGAUGGACCCGCGUUGGAUUAGCUAGUUGGUGAGGUAACGGCCCACCAAGGCGACGAUCCAUAGCCGACCUGAGAGGGUGACCGGCCACAUUGGGACUGAGACACGGCCCAAACUCCUACGGGAGGCAGCAGUGGGGAAUAUUGCACAAUGGGCGAAAGACUGAAGCAGCGACGCCGCGUGAGCGAAGAAGUAUUUCGGUAUGUAAAGCUCUAUCAGCAGGGAAGAUAAUGACGGUACCUGACUAAGAAGCACCGGCUAAAUACGUG